GCCAGUACAUACUACUGUAGACCUCUAAAGAACAUUCAACACACACUCUUUCUGUGAGUUUACCCCUCACGGAUACAAAUCCCAGCAACCCUUAACAAAGGAGAGAGUCUACAAUUUAUUUUUUUAAGGGGGAGGUGUCCUUAAAAUGUGCUUUAAAGGUAUUGUGUGUACACAGUAGGGCUGACAAGCCAAUCCUAUAAUUAUUAUUUUCCCUAUAUUGAGCUCCUUACAUUGAGAGAUUAGCAAAUGAUGAGUGGAAAUGGGAUGGGGACUGUUAGUAACCAAGGCAGAGUGGAUGGAAUCAGAGGCUGAAGCAGGAGAGUAGGAAGAGGGAGGCCAAGAGGCAAAGAUGAGUCAGGCUGGUGAAGAGUCCUCCCCUCCCCACUUGUCUCCCAGAACCAGAAGAGGCAUGCAAAGGGUGGAGGAGAGGUUGGCUGCAUGCAGGCGCAGUCUCCGAUUACUUGGAAAAAAACCCUGAGAAGGAGGGCACUUAGACGGCUGUGAGGAGGCAGGGACUUUCAGCCUCAGCAACUGAUUUUCAUAGAAUAAGUCCACCAGGAAUGAGCUGCUCUGCUCUUUAGGCCUGACACUCAACCAAGACUGUAGAGAUUGUGCUUUGGCUAAUAAUAACUCCAAUUUUGAAUUGUGUGAUUACUGAAUUGCACGCUCCUGUGACACAAAUAAACUUAUAUCCGCUGA